rnacentral:misc_RNA from 1 species
CCAAAAUUAUUGGCAGCCAUAGUCAGGGGAAGUAUCAGUUCCUUGAAGAGAUCGAUGUUACUUGGUAUCCCUUGAAGCAUUGCAGCAUCAAUUGUCGCUUGAGUUUUUUCAACCACCUGGCAUUUUUCUUUGCAUGUUAUUGCUGCCCUCUCUACAAGAGUCAUAUCAGCCACAACAAGAUCUUUACUUAAUACAACACCUUGCUUUGUUGAAGAGUUCUUCCAGAAAUUAAUGGAAGCAGUGGAAAUCCAAGAUGGAGACCUCAUCCACUUCUGUAAGUAAACACUUCCAUCUAUGUCAAAUACAUGAUUACUGAUUUCCAAUAACUCAUCAGAAGGCUUUGCUCCUUGUGCUGCUUGAUAC